rnacentral:pre_miRNA from 1 species
UACUCUCGACCUCCACAAGAGAUUUGUUCUCUGGUGGAAGGUCUUCUGAACCAUAGAGAAUAAGUCUCUUGUGGAAGUUAAGAGUA